CAGAAACUUCACGUUGGCUCAACAGCCUGUACAUUUUUUCUCAAUAACAGUUGGGAAACAUUUGUGAUUUCAUUUGUGCUGUAUAUGCUUAUUUAAGGACCGUUGUUGAUAUUAUAUUGGUCUGUAAAGGGGAAGGACAAUCAUAAACUUGCUUUAUUGAAUUAUUCUCUCAGGGGGGUCAGUGCUGAAAGUAGCUUCAAUCUGGAUUGUUGAAUUGCCGAUGAGAAACAAAUGUUUUAUGGAGAUGAGGACAAUCCCGACGAGGUUCCAGCUAUGCGGUGUGGUGGAGUACGCUGUGUCCGUAUGCGGUGCUUUACCAGAAAGAUGACCAGAUCCACAGAUCUCCUGCACAUGGGAACUAGGACACAUCCAAGGCUCCUCCGGGUAUCCUUCCUAGUCCUUCUUCUUCAUGCAGCCAUAGCCUCUUCCCUAUCUGCCCCGCCAUCUUUGUCCUCAGCGCCAUCAAAUGCACAGCUUAAAACAACAACCACACCACCUACACCAAAUACUACCAUAUCAACUAAAACUACCGCACUUUCUACACCAAAUACAACCACAACAAUUACUUCAACCACAACAACUACACCAACUACAUCCACACCAACCACAACCGUGUCAGCUACAACAACCACAUCUACUACAACAUCUACCACCCAAAGUACUGUAGCAUCAACCAUGUCACAUACUAACACAGCAACUGCACCCUAUCCAACCACAUCAGCCACAACCACGACACCUGCAGCUCCAUCAACCAUACCAUCCACAGCUACAUUAACCACCACUUACAUUCCUUCAUCUAACACUCUAAACACAUCAACAGUCGUGGUGCCCAUGUCGAAUGCAGCAGCACCAAAUGCAUCCACCACCCCACCCCCCACAUCACAUACAACCCCUCACCCAUCACCACUGCACACUGCCUCAUCCAACAUGACUAGUGGACCAAUGGCGUCCACUGUGCCAUCUCCAUCGACUACCUCUACGCUGCACUCAACCUCACCCAUCAUGUUGUCCACCGCUAACAUUACCUCGAAAAAUGACACAUUUCCGGGACACUCCACGCCUUUACCAACAACAGUCACCUCUAACGUCACUACAGAGCCAGCAAAGGUGCAUUGCAACUUCUCACAGCUCUGUGCCAAUCAGUCUGUUUACUACUGGAUGGUCCUUGCGGUGGACGUGACUGGAGACCUGAAGAGUGAAACGGACAUCAGUGACUGGUUGUGGGAUCUAUUUCAUACUCACUUGGACACCUGCGAGCCCUACCAACCGGAACAAUCAAAUGGCACAAACUCGACAGACACACUGCGAACCACCUCAGUCAGUCCAGCAUAUCCCACCCCCUACAACAUGACCACACGGCCAUACAACUUCACCGCAGCAACACCAUCCCAGAACUUCACCACGACAGCACAAACGCUGAACUACAGCUCGACCCCCUCGCGCGACUUCAGCAUGACGGCCUUGACAACAAACAUGACAACCGUGCUUUACAAUCACAGUAUUACUACUCCUUCACACAACCAUGGCAUGACUACACCAUCACACAACUACAGCACGACAACUCAUUCUCCCAGCUGUACCAUGUCUGCCACCACUAGUAAAGAGCACAAAGGUGGAAAUAUGACUGCCGCCAGCCUGUUUCACGACAUUGAAGUGACGUGCGUCAAUAAAACGAGGAUCAGGAGGACUAACUGUACUGUGCUGCUGAAGCUGAGGAAGCCCACAUUUCCCUGCUGUGUUCAGCGGGCCAUUUGGUUGGCUGCGGAGAACAGCCCCAUACGAGCCGAUAUUGUGGGAAACAGAGUGGGUAAGGGUCUGUCUCAUUGCGCAGGCCAACUGCCUCCAGUCGGUCCUGCGAAGUGCAAUGGCUCCCUCAAUGGGACCCUCCCUCUCCCAAACACUUGUCAAUUUCCAGGGCCUGUUAAUAUCUCAUGUGGACAUUGCGGGACUGUUUAUGUUCCUCUUAGGAAUCAAACCCAAAUGGACGACGGCAAGCCCCCUAAACCCCCCAUCGAGGCGAAGAUUUUCUGCAACUGCUUCGCUUAUUGCGAUGGUACAGCUGCACGCUACACCUUGGACGUACAGAUCACAGAUUCUGCUCUGCACAUUUCAAACAUCUUCUCUCUGGUUAAACAGCUAAGACAUCCACCACCCUGUCACAACACCUCAGCGACAGGUCCCCCUAGUCCUCUGCUCAUCAUAUCGACUAUCUUUCAGUGUGCUUACGUGAAAUGCUUUAGCACGGAGACAAACCUCCAAAGCUGCAGGGUUAUCGUGGGCCUUGGACAUUCAGUGCCUAUAUGUGUAGUCAGCACUGCAUUAAUGACUGUGUUCAGUGAUGAGCGUGGCAUUGACUAUGACGGAAAGGUGACACGAGCAGGAAUUUGUAGCUGGCCAGGAUCCAGUGGAGAUCUAUUGAAUUCGACCUUCAGCUCGGCGGAGAGCUGCCUCAACCACUCGGAGUUCUGGACGACUGUAGAGGAGAGCCGUGGCAAAUUUGUCUGCAAACAAGGAGAAGUUGUGUGCGUGCUCCCGAAUGAAAUGUGUGACAGAUACCCCACACCUCCUCUCACUUCACCCAGCCCAAUAGCCAGCACUACUUUGCCUGCAACAACAACACGGUCUCCUCCACCCAACACCACUCUACAACAAAACACCACCUCCCUCCCAUUGAACACAACAUUACCUCCACCCAACAGCACCUCUACAGCGCCAAAUACUACAUCAGCAGCUCCAAAUACUACAACAUCAGCUCCAAAUACUACAUCGGCAGCUCCAAAUACUACAACAUCAACUCCUAAUACAACAACAUCAGCUCCUAAUACAACAACAUCAGCUCCAAAUACAACAACAUCAGCUCCUAAUACAACAACAUCAGCUCCAAAUACAACAACAUCAGCUCCAAAUACUACAACAUCAGCUCCAAAUACUACAACAUCAGCUCCAAAUACUACAACAUCAGCUCCUAAUACAACAACAUCAGCUCCAAAUACUACAACAUCAGCUCCUAAUACAACAACAUCAGCUCCUAAUACAACAACGUCAGCUCCAAAUACUACAACAUCAGCUCCUAAUACAACAACAUCAGCUCCUAAUACAACAACAUCAGCUCCUAAUACAACAACGUCAGCUCCAAAUACUACAACAUCAGCUCCUAGCACCAUUGUCACAACACAAACCAACACAAUGACAACCAUCCACCCCAUUCAUCCAUCACUAAACACCUCCACAACCAGGACCAUUGCCACAACUCCCCUGGGUAAUACCACUGCAAACUCAUCAACACCCGUCCUUCCACCAGUAAACACCGCAACAGCCUCCCCAAAGACCACCAAGACAGCCGUGAUAACAACCACCGCAGCACAAAACACCACAGAAGCCAGUAAUGAAGAGCAGGCCAACCAGUUGCUGGAUCUGACAAGCGACGUGUCCAAGCUCAACUCCUCCCAGGUGGACCAGCUGGUAUCCCAGCUAGAGGCCCUGCUUGCUGGGCCCAAUGUCAGCCUGGCUCUGGGGAAAACCUCUGUCACGAUCGUUAGCAACCUGCUGGGUGUCUCCUCUGACACCCUGGCCUCCUCCUCCACCAAGAUCAUUGGGAUUGUUGAUACUGUGGGCCUGAAGCUGGUUGUUCAGGAAGAGGCUAUGAUUUUAACCGAAUCGGUCGCUCUCGCCGUCAAAACGGUGGACGGCACUGAUUUCCAGCGAACAUCUUUCUCCAUCCGAGACCCCAACAGUGUGCAGAUCCGUGGAGACAACAGAGCCAGGAGGAGUGUGAGAGCAGAGGCUUCCUCCCUCCCUCAGGGGUCCGUCACAUUCCCCUCUUCCCUCACAGCGAACCUCUCCCCUGAGCAGCAGCUUCAGGCCUCCAGACUCCAGUUCAACUUCUACCAGAAGAGCACUGUGUUCCAGGACCGAGCCCUGGGAGACAGCAAGCUGAAUAGUGGAAUCCUGGGGGCCAGUGUGGCCAACCUGUCAAUCAAGUCUCUGCAGGAGGACGUGGUCAUCACCCUGAGGAACACUGAACCUGUCUUAGCACAUUUCGUGGUGGCAUGUGUUUUCUGGGACUUUGGCAUGAAUGAUGGCUCAGGAGGCUGGAACCGAGAUGGCUGCUCUGUCAGGAACAGCACAGAUAAUGAGACUGUCUGUGUCUGCAACCAUCUCACCUGCUUUGGUGUUCUACUGGACAUGUCCAGAACGGGCAUAACCAGUUGUCUCCAGGCCACAAUCCUCACCUACAUCACCUACAUUGGCUGUGGUAUCUCCGCCAUCUUCCUCUCCAUCACUCUGCUCACCUACCUGGCAUUUGGGAAACUGCGUAAGGACAUCCCAUCUAAGAUCCUGAUCCAGCUGUGUGUGGCUCUGUUGUUUUUGAACCUGGUGUUCCUGGUGGAUGGUUGGCUGGCCCUCUACCCUGACGCUGUGGGCCUCUGCAUCUCCACCGCCUGGUUCCUGCACUACUUCCUGCUGGCUUCCUUCACCUGGAUGGGCCUGGAGGCCGUCCACAUGUACCUGGCCCUCGUCAAGGUCUUCUACACAUACAUACCACGUUACAUGCUCAAGUUCUCGCUCCUUGGCUGGGGAACUCCACUCCUUGUGGUCAUUGUCGUCAUUGCUGUUGACGAGGACAACUACGGACUAGUUGGCUACGGAAAGUACGUAGACGGCUCCCGCACAGAUGACUUCUGCUGGCUGAAGAACGACAUUGCCUUCUACGUAACCGUUGUGGCUUAUUUCUGUGUCAUCUUCCUGAUGAAUCUCGUCAUGUUUGCGGUAGUGAUGGUUCAGCUGUGUCGGAUAAAGAGGCAGAACCCCGACAACAAGAGGCACCGUAACAGGCUGCAGGACCUGCGCAGUGUGGUUGGAGUCACAGUACUCCUGGGUCUCACCUGGGGCUUUGCCUUCUUCGCCUGGGGGCCCGUCAACCUGCCCUUCAUGUACCUCUUUUGCAUCUUCAACUCCUUUCAAGGGUUCUUCAUCUUUGUGUUCCACUGUGCUGUGAAGGAGAACGUGAGGAAGCAGUGGAGGACUUAUCUCUGCUGUGGUAGACUGAGACUGGCGGAGAACUCAGAGUGGAGCCGCACCGCAACACAGAAGACAGGGAAGAAGUCAUUGCCAGUGACCAGAGCCACGUCCCUCCACUCCGACAACUCCUCCCAGUUCAACAAUUCCUCCAUCUUCUCCUUCUUGUCCAAUGACUCCUCAGAGCGACCCAGUGGAGGAAUAGAGCUGGGGAUGGCUUAGCAAGCCUUCAUCUCCAUCUCACUAAUUACCUAUGUAACCUCUGAACUCUGUGACGGGCUCUGAGAUGACCUUUACUCUACAGAAGUGGUGUAAAGUACCUAGGUAGUCCAUUUGAUGACAGAUCCAUCACUGCCCUGGAAGAGCCCAACUCAGACGUGGUCCUCAACGAGAUAAACAGACAGUUUAGGAGCCCGAGUUCGAGAGCACCCUGACACCUGUGAAAAACUAGGGGCUCUAUUCAAUCUUUAUCACUGAAGAUCACUUUACAGAUUGCGCAAUAGAAAUAUCAAGGGCAUUUCCGAUUGCGCCGACAUAUGCAGCAUUUACCGUGAAUGCCGUGAAUACCGUGAAGGCAACGCGGGAACGUUGCCUUUAAAUUUCAAUCACGCUGUAACGCUAAACUUCUGCGAUACGGAUUGAAUAGAGGCCUCCGGGUAGGCUGGUGGGGAAGGGACGCGGUGUGACACGGUGUGUUUCAUAAUAGUUUUGAAGAAUAUAUGAAAUAGUUGCAUGUUAGUGUUACAUUUUGUAGUUUAACAGAAAGGUGUGACAGAUCACCCUGAAGAGAUGGGACAUCACCAAAGAGCUUGCAUGCUCAUGGAUUCCAUCUGGUUGACCUGGCAAUACUAUCAUGAACUCGCCUGGGCUGGCACCUAUGAUUGUGAAUAAUGCAUGUACUGAAAGGGUAUCUAGCACAGAGAAAACCCCCACUCAUAGAUCCUCAUGAGGUGCAUCAUUUGACCGCAUUCUACAUACUUCCUUUUUUUCUCUGCAUUCUUCAGACCCGUAAGUUAAAUGAAGGUUCAAUUAAAAAAAUGUACAAAAAUAAGUUAA